CCCUUAGACGUUCUGGGCCGCACGCGCGCUACACUGACGAAGGCAACGAGCUUUCCUUUACCGAAAGGUACGGGUAAUCUUUUGAAACUUCGUCGUGCUGGGGAUAGAUCCUUGCAAUUUUUGAUCUUAAACGAGGAAUGCCUAGUAAGCGCAAGUCAUCAGCUUGCGUUGAUUACGUCCCUGCCCUUUGUACACACCGCCCGUCGCUACUACCGAUUGAAUGGUUUAGUGAGGCCUUCGGAUCCGCGACUCGUUUGUGGAGAAGUUGGACAAACUCAGUCAUUUAGAGGAAGUAAAAGUCGUAACA
rnacentral:rRNA from 1 species